UACGGAGGAUGCGAGCGUUAAUCGGAAUUACUGGGCGUAAAGGGCGCGUAGGCGGUGGGUUACGUCUGCCGUGAAAUCCCCGGGCUCAACCUGGGAAUGGCGGUGGAAACGGGCUGACUGGAGUAUGGGAGAGGGUGAUGGAAUUCCAGGUGUAGCGGUGAAAUGCGUAGAGAUCUGGAGGAACACCAGUGGCGAAGGGGGUCACCUGGACCAAUACUGACGCUGAGGCGCGAAAGCGUGGUGAGCAAACAGG
rnacentral:rRNA from 1 species